GACGGGUCCCCGCACAAGCAGCGGAGCGUGUGGUUUAAUUCGUUGCUACACGAAGAACCUUACCUGGGUUUGACAUAGCAGUGGUAGGGAAGAGAAAUCGGACCGACCUUCGGGGAGCUGUUACAGGUGUUGCAUGGCUGUCGUCAGCUCGUGUCGUGAGAUGUUCGGUUAAGUCCGCUAACGAGCGCAACCCGCGUUGUGUGUUAUAUGUGUCACACAAUACCGCCGGUAUUAAGCCGGAGGAAGGUGCGGAUGACGUCAAGUCAGCAUGACCUUUAUAUCCAGGGCUACACACACGCUACAAUGGACAGUACAACAGGUUGCCAAGCCGCGAGGCGGAGCCAAUCCUCUAAAGCUGUCCUCAGUUCAGAUUGCAGGCUGCAACUCGCCUGCAUGAAGUUGGAGUUGCUAGUAACCGCAGGUCAGCUAUACUGCGGUGAAUACGUUCCCGGGGAUU
rnacentral:rRNA from 1 species